GCUCGCUUUGGCAGCAGCAUGUACUAAAAUUGGAAAGUUUACACAGAUUAACACGGUCCUUGUGUAAGCAUGACAUGCAAAUUCAUGAAUCUUUUUAUGUUUUU
rnacentral:snRNA from 1 species